GACAGAGGUGCCGAGCGUUAGGCGGAAUCACUGGGCUUAAAGCGUGUGUAGGCGGGUCGUUAAGUGCCUUGUGAAAUCCCACGGCUCAACCGUGGAACUGCUGGGCAUACUGCCGAUCUUGAGCCAGCUAGGGGCAACCGGAACAAACGGUGGAGCGGUGAAAUGCGUAGAUAUCGUUUGGAACGCCAAUGGUGAAAACAGGUUGCUGGGGCUGUGCUGACGCUGAGACACGAAAGCCAGGGGGAGCGAACGGG
rnacentral:rRNA from 1 species